rnacentral:rRNA from 1 species
UACGAGGGGGGCAAGUGUUGUUCGGAAUUACUGGGCGUAAAGGGAGCGUAGGCGGAAGCUUAAGUCGGGUGUUUAAAACCGGGGCCCAACCCCGGAGCGGCACUCGAAACUGGGCUUCUUGAAUGGGACAGAGGCUGGUGGAAUUGGGGGUGUAGCGGUGGAAUGCGUAGAGAUCCCCAAGAACACCGAUUGCGAAGGCAGCCAGCUGGGUCCACAUUGACGCUGAGGCUCGAAAGCAUGGGGAGCAAACAGG